UACAGAGGUCUCAAGCGUUGUUCGGAUUCAUUGGGCGUAAAGGGUGCGUAGGCGGCGCGGUAAGUCGGGUGUGAAAUCUUGGAGCUUAACUCCGAAACUGCAUUCGAUACUGCCGUGCUUGAGGACUGGAGAGGAGACUGGAAUUUACGGUGUAGCGGUGAAAUUCGUAGAUAUUCGCAAGAACACCAGUGGCGAAGGCGGCUCACUGGUCCGGUACUGACGCUGAGGUGCGAAAGCGUGGGGAGCAAACAGG
rnacentral:rRNA from 1 species